rnacentral:rRNA from 1 species
AGAGUUUGAUCCUGGCUCAGGAUGAACGCUAGCGGCAGGCUUAACACAUGCAAGUCGAGGGGUAGAGUUAGCUUGCUAACUUGAGACCGGCGCACGGGUGCGUAACGCGUAUGCAAUCUACCUUAUACAGGGGAAUAGCCCAGAGAAAUUUGGAUUAAUGCCCCAUGGUAUUAUUGAAUGGCAUCAUUUGAUAAUUAAAGUUCCAACGGUAUAAGAUGAGCAUGCGUCCCAUUAGUUAGUUGGUAAGGUAACGGCUUACCAAGACAAUGAUGGGUAGGGGUCCUGAGAGGGAGAUCCCCCACACUGGUACUGAGACACGGACCAGACUCCUACGGGAGGCAGCAGUGAGGAAUAUUGGACAAUGGGCGCAAGCCCGAUCCAGCCAUGCCGCGUGCAGGAAGACGGUCCUAUGGAUUGUAAACUGCUUUUAUACAGGAAGAAACACUCCCUCGUGAGGGAGCUUGACGGUACUGUAAGAAUAAGGAUCGGCUAACUCCGUGCCAGCAGCCGCGGUAAUACGGAGGAUCCAAGCGUUAUCCGGAAUCAUUGGGUUUAAAGGGUCCGUAGGCGGCUUUAUAAGUCAGUGGUGAAAUCUCCUAGCUCAACUAGGAAAUGGCCAUUGAUACUGUAGGGCUUGAAUUAUUGUGAAGUAACUAGAAUAUGUAGCGUAGCGGUGAAAUGCUUAGAUAUUACAUGGAAUACCAAUUGCGAAGGCAGGUUACUAACAAUAUAUUGACGCUGAUGGACGAAAGCGUGGGGAGCGAACAGGAUUAGAUACCCUGGUAGUCCACGCCGUAAACGAUGGAUACUAGCUGUUCGGAGCAAUCUGAGUGGCUAAGCGAAAGUGAUAAGUAUCCCACCUGGGGAGUACGAACGCAAGUUUGAAACUCAAAGGAAUUG